CCAAUAGCGUAUAUUAGUGUUGUUGCGGUUAAAAAGCUCGUAGUUGAAUUUCGGGAUUGGGAUAUAUCGGUCGUGCCUUUAGGGGCAUGAAUCAGUGUGUGGCCAAUUCUCACCUUCUGGUGAAUUGGGAUGCUCUCGGGUGUUUCAAUAAACUAGGACUUUUACUUUGAAAAAAUUAGAGUGUUUAAAGCGGGCAUUUU
rnacentral:rRNA from 1 species